GAGUAGGGCGGGACACGUGGUAUCCUGUCUGAAUAUGGGGGGACCAUCCUCCAAGGCUAAAUACUCCUGACUGACCGAUAGUGAACCAGUACCGUGAGGGAAAGGCGAAAAGAACCCCGGCGAGGGGAGUGAAAAAGAACCUGAAACCGUGUACGUACAAGCAGUGGGAGCCCCACCACUAAGCCAGUGGUGAACUCCACAUACGCAUCCUUUGCUGAGGAUACGGUUAACGGAGCGAAAGCGACGUUCAACCGCAAAAGAAGCAGAGGGGGCUUAGUGGUGGGGUGACUGCGUACCUUUUGUAUAAUGGGUCAGCGACUUAUAUUCUGUAGCAAGGUUAACCGAAUAGGGGAGCCGUAGGGAAACCGAGUCUUAACCGGGCGUUAAGUUGCAGGGUAUAGACCCGAAACCCGGUGAUCUAGCCAUGGGCAGGUUGAAGGUUGGGUAACACUAACUGGAGGACCGAACCGACUAAUGUUGAAAAAUUAGCGGAUGACCUGUGGCUGGGGGUGAAAGGCCAAUCAAACCGGGAGAUAGCUGGUUCUCCCCGAAAGCUAUUUAGGUAGCGCCUCGUGAAUUCAUCUCCGGGGGUAGAGCACUGUUUCGGCUAGGGGGCCAUCCCGGCUUACCAACCCGAUGCAAACUGCGAAUACCGGAGAAUGUUAUCACGGGAGACACACGGCGGGUGCUAACGUCCGUCGUGAAGAGGGAAACAACCCAGACCGCCAGCUAAGGUCCCAAAGUCAUGGUUAAGUGGGAAACGAUGUGGGAAGGCCCAGACAGCCAGGAUGUUGGCUUAGAAGCAGCCAUCAUUUAAAGAAAGCGUAAUAGCUCACUGGUCGAGUCGGCCUGCGCGGAAGAUGUAACGGGGCUAAACCAUGCACCGAAGCUGCGGCAGCGACGCUGAUGCGUUGUUGGGUAGGGGAGCGUUCUGUAAGCCUGCGAAGGUGGCCUGUGAGGGUUGCUGGAGGUAUCAGAAGUGCGAAUGCUGACAUAAGUAACGAUAAAGCGGGUGAAAAGCCCGCUCGCCGGAAGACCAAGGGUUCCUGUCCAACGUUAAUCGGGGCAGGGUGAGUCGACCCCUAAGGCGAGGCCGAAAGGCGUAGUCGAUGGGAAACGGGUUAAUAUUCCCGUACUUGGUGUUACUGCGAAGGGGGGACGGAGAAGGCUAUGUUGGCCGGGCGACGGUUGUCCCGGUUUAAGCGUGUAGGUGUGUGUUCCAGGUAAAUCCGGUUCACUUUAACACUGAGGCGUGAUGACGAGGCACUACGGUGCUGAAGCAACAAAUGCCCUGCUUCCAGGAAAAGCCUCUAAGCAUCAGGUAACAUCAAAUCGUACCCCAAACCGACACAGGUGGUCAGGUAGAGAAUACCAAGGCGCUUGAGAGAACUCGGGUGAAGGAACUAGGCAAAAUGGUGCCGUAACUUCGGGAGAAGGCACGCUGACACGUAGGUGAAGUGAUUUACUCAUGGAGCUGAAGUCAGUCGAAGAUACCAGCUGGCUGCAACUGUUUAUUAAAAACACAGCACUGUGCAAACACGAAAGUGGACGUAUACGGUGUGACGCCUGCCCGGUGCCGGAAGGUUAAUUGAUGGGGUCAGCGCAAGCGAAGCUCCUGAUCGAAGCCCCGGUAAACGGCGGCCGUAACUAUAACGGUCCUAAGGUAGCGAAAUUCCUUGUCGGGUAAGUUCCGACCUGCACGAAUGGCGUAAUGAUGGCCAGGCUGUCUCCACCCGAGACUCAGUGAAAUUGAACUCGCUGUGAAGAUGCAGUGUACCCGCGGCAAGACGGAAAGACCCCGUGAACCUUUACUAUAGCUUGACACUGAACAUUGAGCCUUGAUGUGUAGGAUAGGUGGGAGGCUUUGAAGUGUGGACGCCAGUCUGCAUGGAGCCGACCUUGAAAUACCACCCUUUAAUGUUUGAUGUUCUAACGU
rnacentral:rRNA from 1 species